AGUUCAUAACCAUUUACCUUUCUUAUACAGCCCACUCAAGUCUAGAUGAUCAUCUGGCGCGUUGGUUUGGGUUGAAUCAGUCAAAGUAUCAAUGGGCCCUUGAUGAUUAUUACGAGAGCAAGGGAAUGGAAAAAGGAGAAAAAGUAAAAGAGAUCUCAAGCAAAGUGCAGAAUGUAUAACUUGCCAAGGGCUGUGGGGGGAUUAAUCAGAAGACUCUUGGAGUAGAGUAUAUUUAUAUACCUUUUGUACUUACAUGUGGGGUUAGAACAAAUGAGUCUGAAAUGUCAAAUAUUUCUUUGAUCUGAUUCAGUGGUUGUUUUCCAACUCCAGAAGUUGAGUCUCAUUAUUUUGAUAGUAUCAUCAUCAAGCUAUCAUCGCGUGGGGCGAUGGUUUUGAUCUACUUGUAUUCUAGUGUCUGUCGUGUAAUGUCUUUGGAUUUGCAAAACCUCGGAGCUGUUCUUUUUCAAGGAUAGUGGCCUUGUCAUCAAUCUCAGGGCUAAUUAAUUCCAAUGCAAUUCCCUAUAAUUAUAAGUAUAAUUUAGAAAUUAAUCCUCUAUUGGUUUUAUUUUUGUUAUGUAUAAGACAAUAAGAGGUUUAUACAACUAUUGCCUAUAUCAGGACUUGAAUCUA